UACAGAGGGUGCGAGCGUUGUCCGGAAUCACUGGGCGUAAAGGGCGCGUAGGCGGCCUGAUAAGUAGGGGGGUGAAAUCCUGUGGCUUAACUGCAGGGCUGCCUCCUAGACUGUUAGGCUCGAGCACGGUAGAGGCAGAUGGAAUUCCCGGUGUAGCGGUGGAAUGCGUAGAGAUCGGGAAGAACAUCGGUGGCGAAGGCGGUCUGCUGGGCCGUUGCUGACGCUGAGGCGCGACAGCGUGGGGGAGCAAACAGG
rnacentral:rRNA from 1 species